UACGAAGGAUCCAAGCGUUAUCCGGAUUUAUUGGGUUUAAAGGGUGCGUAGGCGGCCUAUUAAGUCAGUGGUGAAAGCCUGAUGCUCAACAUCAGAACUGCCAUUGAUACUGAUGGGCUUGAAUACACUUGAGGAGGGCGGAAUGUGUCAUGUAGCGGUGAAAUGCGUAGAUAUCUGGAGGAACACCGGUGGCGAAGGCGGCAUCCUGGACCAAUUCUGACGCUGAGGAGCGAAAGCCAGGGGAGCAAACGGG
rnacentral:rRNA from 1 species